AUCCGGGUUCUGUGUUGUCGACAACUUGAACGCAAACAACUUUGGGAUUGCUUUGCUAAAUUGUUUCAGAAAUCAUAUUUGAUGUAACUAACGAGUAAUAACAAGAAGGUUACCCGUAUUGUACUUCAUUCACUGUCUAAUUAUAGUACUUGUGUCUUAAAGUUAACAAUGUUCUAAGCUGUACAGGGGUAAAUGUAAAGUUUAUCCGAGACAACCUUUGUGAUUUUAUCAAAAUAAUGAUAUAACAAGCAGUAUUGAUGAUGUGAUGGUCAAGCAUGGCCAUGUUUGGAGCUGUCACUCUAAAAUCUGUGAUAGUAUGGGGAGCACUAUUUGCCACUGCAUGGUUUGGAGACAACCUAGUCAAGAAUUUUAUUUUGGAUCUGCCUCCUAAUUUUGGAAGAUGCACAAGCAUCUUGGGGCAUCCUGUAAUGGAUCUGGUCUCUUUUAAGAGCUACUGAUACAGUAGUUCAUGGUCUGAUUGGAGGCUUCUCAUUUUGGCUAACUUGUCUUCUGUGUCCUGACCUGGUGCUGGAUGUAUCCUAUUUACUUUCCUGCCUUGGACUUGGACAUGAGAGAGAUAGGCAAAGAAGAGUGUUCUUAGAUAUGCCUAUUGACACUAUAUACAACUUUGGUGUGGCGUUCAUGCUUUCCUGUGUUGUGGACUUGGACCAUGUCAUGAAGGAUCUUGUGCAAAUAAUAAUGGGUGGAUCACGUGUGCCUUGGGAGAGAGGUUGUCUUCACUUUUCCCUGCCACCACUCCUUCUAACUCUUCUUCUAUACAUCUCAGCUCUCAUUGUUCAUUACAUGUGGUGUUUGAAAUUAGGUACACUCAUUGUGGUUUGUAUUUUUAGCCACCAGGUACGUGAUGGGAUGCAUCAUGGUUUGUGGUUUCAACCUCUAGGUAUAACUUCCCGGCUUCCUCAGUGGCUGUACAUAUUUAUAACACAAAUUUUGCCUCUGGUGAUCAGUGCACUGGUCUCCAUACUUGUAUUAAGAGUAAAAUUAAAUGUGAAUCUGUCAAGAGAAAUGUAUUUUGUAUAGUACAGGUUGUACCUCUCUAGUCCAGCACUCUGUGAUCCGGAAACUCCCGUGGUCCGGCACGAUUUUAGUUUGCCCAAUAGCCAACAUCCCUGAUGUAAUUUGAAUGUAAUUUUAGUUACAGUACCAUCACUUCACAUUGGAAGCAGAAUUAUGGUCGCAUUAAAGGUAAAUUAAAUAGUAUUUUAACUGUA